GACCCCGAAGGUGCUU
rnacentral:rRNA from 1 species